AUUGAACGCUGGCGGCAGGCCUAACACAUGCAAGUCGAGCGGAUGAAGGGAGCUUGCUCCUGGAUUCCGCGGCGGACGGGUGAGUAAUGCCUAUGAAUCUCCCUGGUAGUGGUGGAUAACGUCCGGAAACGGGCGCUACUACCGCCUACGUCCUGCGGGAGCAACAUGGGGGUCUUCGGACCUCACCCUCUCUUAUGAGCCUAGGUCGGAUUAGUUAGUUGGUGGGUUAAGUGCCUACCAAGGCGACGAUCGGUAAAUGGACGGAGAGGAUGAUCAGUCACACUAGAACUGGGACAGCGUCAAGGGGCCUAAGAGAGGCAGCAGUGGGGAAUAGUGGACAGUGGGCGAAAGCAUGAUACAGCCAUGGCGCGUGUGUGAAGAAGGUCUUGGGAUUGGAAAGAACGUUAAGGGGGGGGAAACGGCAGUAAGUUAAGACGUAGCUGGAUUGACGGUACUAACAGAAGAAGCACCGGCUAACUACGUG
rnacentral:rRNA from 1 species